rnacentral:tRNA from 1 species
GGCCGGCGGCGACGUGGAAGGCGACGUCGUCGGCGUACCCCCGGCGGAGCACGUCGCCGAGCGCGGCCCGCAGUUCGGGACGGCGGCCGGCCUCCA